AGACGUAGGGGGCUAGCGUUGCCCGGAUUCACUGGGCGUAAAGCGCGCGUAGGCGGUUCGGCAAGUCGCCCGUGAAAGCCCCUGGCUCAACUGGGGGAGGUCGGGCGAUACUGCCGGGCUAGAGGGCGGCAGAGGGAGGUGGAACGGCCGGAGUAGCGGUGAAAUGCGUAGAUACCGGCCGGAAUCCCGAUGGCGAAGGCAACCUCCUGGGCCGUUCCUGACGCUGAGGCGCGAAAGCUGGGGGAGGGAACCGGAUUAGAAACCCUAGUAGUCC
rnacentral:rRNA from 1 species